AGCAGCCGCGGUAAUUCCAGCUCCAAUAGCGUAUAUUAAAGUUGUUGCAGUUAAAAAGCUCGUAGUUGAAUUUCGGGAUCAGUAGGUUGGUCAUACCUCUGGUAUGUACUGGUCUCACUGAUUCCUCCUUCCUGAUGAACUGUAAUGCCAUUAAUUUUGGUGUUGCAGGGAAACUGGACUGUUACUUUUGAAAAAAUUAGAGUGUUUAAAGCAAGCUAACGCUUGAAUACAUUAGCAUGGAAUAAUGAAAUAGGACGUUCGAUCCUAUUUUGUUGGUUUCUAGGAUUGACGUAAUGAUUAAUAGGGAUAGUUGGGGGCAUUAGUAUUCAAUUGUCAGAGGUGAAAUUCUUGGAUUUAUUGAAGACUAACUACUGCGAAAGCAUUUGCCAAGGAUGUUUUCAUUAAUCAAGAACGAAAGUUAGGGGAUCGAAGACGAUCAGAUACCGUCGUAGUCUUAACCAUGAAACUAUGCCGACUAGGGAUCGGAUGAUGUUAAUUUUUUAAUGACUCAUUCGGCGCC
rnacentral:rRNA from 1 species